rnacentral:rRNA from 1 species
CCCGGCUGCAGUGCCAUGCAUGUCUAAGUUUAACGACCCGGAACGAUGAAACUGCGAACGGCUCAUUAUAACAGUUAUAGUUUCUUUGGUUACUCGCUCCACGCCUAACUUUGUGAAUGAGGUAAUUCCUGUUGAGACGAUCCGGGGAGUAUUUGACUUCUCGGCCGUUGGCCGCAAGGCUGGUGAGAAAUGACAUUCUCUUGUGAAAAAGGAUGCCCCGACAAUUGAUGAAAGCGACGCUUUUUACAAGUAACCAAUGGGAAUUUCUGAUCUAUCAAUUUGUUGGUAGUAUCGAGGACUACCAAGAUUAUAACGGAUAACAAGGAAUUGGGGUUCGACAUCGGAGAGGGAGCUUUACAGAUGGCUACCACUUCUAAGGAAGGCAGCAGGCGCGUAAAUUACCCACUUUCGACUUGAAAAGGUAGUGACGACAAAUAACUCUUGGGGCCCUUUGGGUUGUCUUGAAGGAAUGAUUUAGAAGUAAAUUCUCUAAAAAAAUCACUUGGAGGGCAACUCUGGCGCCAGCGACCGCGGUAAUUCCACCUCCAAUAGUGA